AAACCCCCUCGCCGAAAGACUAAGGUUUCCUGAUCAACGCUAAUCGGAUCAGGGUUAGUCGGGUCCUAAGGCUCAGCCGAACGGUGAUGCCGAUGGCAGAACAGGUUAAUAUUCCUGUACUACCUUUAGGAGUGACGUGGAGACGGAGGCGUGACAGCGCCGCGAACUGACGGAAUAGUUCGUUGAAGGGUGUAGAUGUUGAUUGCGGCAGGCAAAUCCACCGCAAGAGUCGAACCUGAUAGUAUGGAGCGUUCUUCUGAACAAUCCAAUAGUGCGUGUAAACAUACUCCCAAGAAAAUCCGCUAAACUUAAUCUUAAAGGUACCCGUACCGUAAACGGACACACGUAGUCGGGUUGAAUAUACUAAGGCGCUUGAGUGAAUCACGGUUAAGGAACUAGGCAAAUUGACCCUGUAACUUCGGGAUAAAGGGUCCCCGUCAGUGAUGGCGGGGCGCAGAGAAUAGGUCCAGGCAACUGUUUAACAAAAACACAGGGCUGUGCAAAAUUGAAAGAUCACGUAUACAGCCUGACACCUGCCCGGUGCUGGAAGGUUAAGAGGAGAUGUCAUCGCAAGAGAAGCAUUGAAUUGAAGCCCCAGUAAACGGCGGCCGUAACUAUAACGGUCCUAAGGUAGCGAAAUUCCUUGUCGGGUAAGUUCCGACCUGCACGAAUGGUGUAAUGAUCUGGACGCUGUCUCAACCGUGAGCUCAGUGAAAUUGUAGUAUCGGUGAAGAUGCCGAUUACCCGCGAUGGGACGAAAAGACCCCGUGAACCUUUACUAUAGCUUAACAUUGAAUUUGGGUAAUUGAUGUGUAGGAUAGGCCGGAGACUUUGAAGCAGGUACGCCAGUAUUUGUGGAGUCGCUGUUGAAAUACGGCCCUUUGAUUAUUUGAGUUCUAACUCGUGGAUGCGAGGACACUGUUUGGUGGGUAGUUUGACUGGGGUGGUCGCCUCCAAAAGUGUAACGGAGGCUUCUAAAGGUGCCCUCACGCCGAUUGGUAACCGGCGGUAGAGUGUAAUGGCAUAAGGGCGCUUGACUGGGAGACUAACAAGUCGAUCAGGUA
rnacentral:rRNA from 1 species